GUUUAUUAUUCUCUUCAAAGAACCACCUCUAGUUUAAAUACUUAUUUUUAUAUUUGUCAGUUUCCUUUAAAAUGAUGUCUGCUCUAAUUUUAAUAAUUCUUUUUAUCUUCUUGUGCCUUCCUUAAGUUUAAUUCACUUCAUUUUUUAAUGAUCUCGUGGCAAAAGGUUGCAUUACUAUUCUAAAUACAUCUCCUGUAUCAAUAUAUACAUUUAUAGGAACUAAUUUCUCAUUAAGGACUAUUUUAACCAGAUUCUGAUCAUUUUGACUUGCUGUUCACCUAACCUUGUUAUCAGUUCCUCUGCACUCUCAGGGCGUAUGUUCUGAGGACAGUGCAGGUGGCAGAAUAUGCUGAUGUUUAACAACAUAUCCCCAAGACGAGAAGUACUCAGCCCCGGCAAAAACCACAUGGAUCUGUGAUAGAAUCUGACUGGAGGAAAGACUGGGGGGUCCUGAGAUCAGUGGGCAGAGAAAAAUCAUCUUUGCAAAAAUAACCUUCCAGCCUGUUCUGCUCUGCACAAUUUUAAUCCCAGAAUCUGGGAGGCAAAGACAGACUAAGGACCAGAACCAGAGCCAGGGCAACAGCUGUGA
rnacentral:lncRNA from 1 species